UGAAACGUUUAUUUUCCGUCGACGAGAUAUUCCAAUUUUUACGUUUGUAUUUCGUCUAAUACCGACUCCGCGUACACUUACACAGUUUUCAAUACAGGUUGCCGUUUGAGUAAGCACGUAGCCGUUUCAGUUCCGAAAAUAACGUAAAACAACAAUAGUAACGUUUGUAGAGAUGCUUGUUUCUAAAAGUUGUUGAACAAAAUUUGGAAGUUAUCGCGUUGCGCUUACAUCUUCUCGGGACACCUUGUAUGUACACGAUAUACGCGAGGCACCGACGAUGACGAGGGGGAUGCAAAGAAGUUAUAUAACGUUCUGACACCAGGCAAACAGAAUUACUGGGGCGCGUAAUAGCGAAACGACAAGGGGCGUUUGUUUUCACAAUGGCCAUAGAGGAAUACGCCGCCGUUUGAUUGUGUUUGCGUUUGCGGAAAUCCCACUGCAAACACGACGCGUGUUAUAUACUAUACAUAACUGCAGCGACAGUAUAAACAGUGAAUAAUAAUAUACUUAGAGAAUGCAUUCGAGGGUUCAUUAAAACAAGUUAGAGAAUUUGUACUGCCGGGAUAGAUGGGGUAGCCGACUCAAUCAGCU